UCCUACGGGAGGCAGCAGUAGGGAAUCUUCCGCAAUGGACGAAAGUCUGACGGAGCAACGCCGCGUGUGUGAAGAAGGCCUUCGGGUUGUAAAGCACUUUCAGUCGUGAGGAAGGUAGUGUAGUUAAUAGCUGCAUUAUUUGACGUUAGCGACAGAAGAAGCACCGGCUAACUCCGUGCCAGCAGCCGCGGUAAUACGGAGGGUGCGAGCGUUAAUCGGAAUUACUGGGCGUAAAGCGCAUGCAGGUGGUUUGUUAAGUCAGAUGUGAAAGCCCGGGGCUCAACCUCGGAAUAGCAUUUGAAACUGGCAGACUAGAGUACUGUAGAGGGGGGUAGAAUUUCAGGUGUAGCGGUGAAAUGCGUAGAGAUCUGAAGGAAUACCGGUGGCGAAGGCGGCCCCCUGGACAGAUACUGACACUCAGAUGCGAAAGCGUGGGGAGCAAACAGGAUUAGAUACCCUGGUAGUCCACGCCGUAAACGAUGUCUACUUGGAGGUUGUGGCCUUGAGCCGUGGCUUUCGGAGCUAACGCGUUAAGUAGACCGCCUGGGGAGUACGGUCGCAAGAUUAAAACUCAAAUGAAUUGACGGA
rnacentral:rRNA from 1 species